rnacentral:rRNA from 1 species
AGCGAAAUUCCUUGGGAGCUCGACUGCAAGAUCCACCCGUCUAGCAGGGACGAAAAUUGGCCUUAGU